AGGAGAAUGAUGUAAUGGCAGCAUAGUGGUCUCCAAAACCGUCAAUAAAGGUUCGAAUCCUUUUUCUCCUG
rnacentral:tRNA from 1 species